rnacentral:rRNA from 1 species
GACGUAGGGGGCCAGCGUUGCUCGGAAUUACUGGGCGUAAAGGGUUCGUAGGCGGUGCGGCAAGUCGGUAGUGAAAUCUCCAGGCUUAACUUGGAGGCUGCUGCCGAAACUGCUGUGCUAGAGUGCAGGAGAGGCGAGUGGAAUUACAGGUGUAGCGGUGAAAUGCGUAGAUAUCUGUAGGAACACCCGUGGCGAAGGCGGCUCGCUGGACUGCAACUGACGCUGAGGAACGAAAGCGUGGGGAGCAAACAGG